GACGAACGCUGGCGGCGUGCUUAACACAUGCAAGUCGAACGGUGACCCUCGGAGCUUGCUUCGGGGUGAGCAGUGGCGAACGGGUGAGUAACACGUGAGUAACCUGCCCUUGACUCUGGAAUAAGCGCUGGAAACGGCGUCUAAUACCGGAUACGACACGCCUCCGCAUGGGGAGCGUGUGGAAAGUUUUUCGGUCUGGGAUGGACUCGCGGCCUAUCAGCUUGUUGGUGAGGUAAUGGCUCACCAAGGCGAUGACGGGUAGCCGGCCUGAGAGGGCGACCGGCCACACUGGGACUGCGACACGGCCCAGACUCCUACGGGAGGCAGCAGUGGGGAAUAUUGCACAAUGGGCGAAAGCCUGAUGCAGCGACGCCGCGUGAGGGAUGACGGCCUUCGGGUUGUAAACCUCUUUCAGCAGGGAAGAAGCGAAAGUGACGGUACCUGCAGAAGAAGCACCGGCUAACUACGUGCCAGCAGCCGCCGCUGUAA
rnacentral:rRNA from 1 species